GUACCAAAAAACAGACCUGUCUCAGCUCCUUGCUCAGGGGCUGGGGCCUAGGCCCAGUUACACGGCCUGUACACAGAGAAUAAACAAACAAAUGGACCAAAAAGCAGAUGGACCAAAAGCAUAAGGCAGCCGCCCUGCUUAGAAAGUUGGGCUUCCAGCUCUUCUUCCUGGAAUCAUGGACCCGUGUGUAAGUCUGUGGAUGUGAGUGGCAUCAACUGAGGCCACUGAGAAUUGCACACGUGUGGGGAAAAGAGGCAACUGUUGCAGUCAGGAAGCAUCUAGAGGGUGGGGUCUUUGGGACACCAAGAAAUUAUGGAGCUUUUGAAAUUUUGAGAGGACACAACCUCCCUGCCUUCCUCCUCUGCAUCAUAGUUGUGAGGAAUAGUACUAAAACUGCAUUUCGAGGAGGAGUCCCCAGAUACCAAGCCAGAAUCCUCAGCCAGCAUCUUUGAAUAUUAACCUGCCCCUGAAUAAGCAAUGUAUGAUGUAGUGUGUUAACAUGUAGUGUAACUUUGCCUUAAUAAAAAUAAAUCGUCCCCUCUACCACACACAUUUUCCAGGAAUGUAAUCUACUGUUUCAGCCUAACUCAGAGUUCUCUUUCAUUUAUGGAUUCUAAUUGCUCUGGCCUAGUAAUCUCCACCCCCAUUCAGCUGCAUGCAGCUCAGGUGUAUGGGGAAGAGGGCAGAUACACACUUCUGUUUUCAUGUUGGAGUGAGGUGUAGCAGUCGGAGAGGGGGCUGAUGACAGUAU